GGACACACCUGGCAAUGGAUGUGACAUUCAGCACUGCCCAGGUUUCUUUCACUUGGAGGAGGCAAACUGGUGAACAGAAGGAGGCAAUCCUCUGGCAGUGGGAUGCUAGGGAGCGAUAAUAAGGCAAGUUUUCUUGCUUGAAGGCAGCUGGUAUCUGUGGUUGGAAGCUGGCGGACAUCUCAUGAUGGACCUAACAGUAGCUUCUGGCACAAUGGGUCACUGUGACGAAAGCCAGAGCAAGUUCCGUUAGAAAUACUGAAAUACUAAAUCAGAUGGAUAGCAAUGCGUAACAGAAAAAAAGUAGAAAGUUGGUUUAAAAGUAUGUGAAAGAAAUAGAAGUGGAAAGAAAUUGCAAUUGAGUAGAUUGGAAGUCUAACACAAGGGUGGGGUGAGGGGUGAGGGAUGGUGGUGGGAAAAGGAAAUAUGUGUGGGAUUGAGUGUGGUUAUGUAUGAAUAUUUUUAAGGACUGUAUGAAAUGUAUGUUUGUAUAUUCGUAAUAUGUAUGUAUUAAUGUUGAAUUAUUUUAAUAAAAUAAAUAUAUUAAUUUUUUUUAAAAAGGAAACGCCAGUUACCUCCCCUUUGCAGUGGUACCUAUUUAUCUACUUACACUGGUGUGCUUUCAAACUACUAGGUUGGUAGGAGCUGGGACAGAGCAACAGGAGCUCACCCCUUUGUGGGGAUUCGAACCACCAACCUUCUGAUUGGGAAGCCCAAAAGGCUCUGUGGUUUAGACCACAGCACCACCUGCUUCCUGAAUAAACAAGCACACAAUCACUGAUAGGUCCACCAGCCAUUGUGAGGAUCAAAGCAAUGAAGAUGAUGCCUCUCCAGCUGUUACCAUUGGCUGUGGGUUUCUUGUGAUGUCACAAAAGCCCUUGGCAACUGAGGGGAUAUAAAGGCAGGCCAAGGGGAAAGCCCUUUUUUGUUUCCAGCAACACAUACCUGGCAAUGUGUUUGGAGUAGCAUCAUGCUGACAGGUUUCUACCCAGACCCAUAUCUGCAGAGUGCAUAUACAUGUUUAAAUACAAAUGCAUAGCACAGGGAGCCAUUACCAUGGUACUUCACCCCAACACCCCUAUCAAAUAUUCACCAGGAGCCAGGGGCGUAGGAAGGGGGGUGGGGGGGUGGGUCACCCCAGGUUCCAUCAUGAAGGGUGUGUGUGACAAAUUAUCAAGGAACAAUUACUGCCCUACUAGGGCGGUUCAUAAAGGACUUUUUUUUGAAAAUGCCUGCUCCAAAGGUCUUAUCUCACCACACUAGGGAUUAUAUAGCUAUAUUUGAAAUUUCAUGCAUAUCAGUUAAUAUCUUGACCCACCUCCACAAAAAUAGCUGUUUACUUGGCCAUUUUCCUAUGUCGUGCAGGCUGAAAUUUCAAUUCAGUGGAGCACUUACUGUUCCCAACCCUAACCCUGCAGAAAGCCAUCUAAUUAGAUAUUAAUUUGAUUUUGACAUGUUUUUAGGAGGUAAUUUAAUUAUUGUUUGAUUUUAUGUUAUGUAUCUGAUGUUAGCUGCCCUGAGCCCGACUUCAGCUGGGGAGGGUGGGAUAUAAAUAAAAGUUUAUUAAUUAUUAUUAUUAUUAUUAUUAAUUCCUUUGUAAGAAAAUAUGAAAUAAUGUAAAACCAUUACAAACCAAGCUCAUAUUGGACGCCACUUCAGAAACCAAAGUCAAGGUUUAAAUAUGUCUCGUAAUGACUGAAAAAUUUAGCUGAAUGGGCCCCAUUUGUUUCAGUUUUACUUUGACACAAAAUAGAUGCCACAAAAAAGAACAGGUAUAAAAUGCUGUUUAAAAACAAGCACAUAACCUUCCUCAACUGCAUCCUAUUUAAGAGUAAGACAGAAAAUCUUAAAAUUUGUCUAUCCCCAGGGAUGAAUUGUCCUACACAGCUGGGGGAAUAUGCAGCCCAGUUUGACUCUUGAACAAAACUAUGGGAACAUAGUAUGUAUGAUUUGCCAUACAUAUAAACUAGAAUUUUAUUUAGCUAGUUUUUGACUUCCCUGAAAAGGCAUUUUCUACAGCGUUUUGUCUUUUGUCUGCUUAUUCUGCAUAGCAAUUAGUGUGUGAUACAUCCCGUGUUCACUUCACAGAUUACUCCAAAAGAUGAAUUGCCUCCCCUUUAAUUGUGUCCCUGACUGUUUCCUACUGUUUAUGGUAUCCCAGACUUCUGUACAAAACAAGCAUUCUGCUCCUAAUUUCUCUAUGACAGAUUAUGCAGAGGAUGUUUAGCACUGACAAUUACCUCCUGGGAUUAACCAGUCCUGCCCUCAAACUCUUUGUUUUUCGGGUAGAUCAUAAGAAUAAAUAACAAAUAACAAUGAAACAAAGUUUGUGCAAGACAGAAAUAUAAACCCCAGCUGGAAACCAUUAGUUUUAUGGCAUAUGUUAUUUUUGUUUAGCAAUUGAAGCAAAAAACCUCAAUCUUUUCUUUUCUUUUAAAUAGUGAUAGCAGGCUGUAAUAUACUUUCUUAUUCCUACCUGCCUACUACCAACUGAAGGGAAAUAUUUGCAAAUGCUUGUUUAUCUCUAUAUGUUUCUUGACUAAGGCUGAUGGCAUAACUAGUGUAUUAGAAGACAUCUGAAGGCAGCCCUGUUUAGGGAAGUUUUUAAUCUUUGAAGUUUUGUUCUGUUUUUGGUCCUCUGUUGCGAGCUGCCCAGAGUGACUGGGGAGGCCCAGUCAGAUGGGCGGGGUAUAAGUAAUAAAUUUAUUAUUAUUAUUAUUAUUAUUAUUAUUAUUAUUAUUAUUAUGCAGUACAGUUUAUCUAAGGUCUAACAUUGCUUCUAUACAUUUCUUUCUCUUUUUUGCUGUCAUUUUUGGCACUACAGGUGAGAACAUGUAUUCUGUAUAUAUGUGCAAUAGUUGCUGAUGUAAAAUGGCUUAAAGUUACUAUCUGCACCUUAGUCUAGCAGGCUCUGAAGUUCAGGGAAGUUUUUAAUGUGUGUCAUUUUAAUGUAUUUUCAAUCUUUGUUGGAAGCCCGCCAGGGUGGUUGGGGAAGCCCAGCCAGAUGGGCGGGGUACAAAUAAUAAUAAUAAUAAUAAUAAUAAUAAUAAUAAUAAUAAUAAUAAUAAUAAAUUAUUAUUAUUAUUGUUAUUAUUAUUAUUAUUAUUCAGAUGAGGUCAUUUCUUACUGUAAUUCACAAGGAUUGGAUUCCUCAAGCACCACUGAUGAUCACCAACAAACUUUAACAAGAGAGCAAAUAAUAAAGAAGUCAGCAUAAAAAUGGCAGAGAACCAGGCAGAGGGCCUUGUCAGUAGUGGUGCCUGCCCUCUGGAGCGCCCUCCCAUCAGAUGUCAAGGAAAUAAACAACUAUCUGACUUUUAGAAGACAUCUGAAGGCAGCCCUGUAUUGGGAAGUUUUUAAUGUCUAAUGUUUUACAAAUUUUUAUGUGCUGUAAGCCACCCAGAGUACCUGGGGAAACCCAUUCAGAUGGGCGGGGUAUAAAGAAUAUUAUUAUUAUUAUUAUUAUUAUUAUUAUUAUUAUUGAAAAAUAUAUGUGGAGCAAGAUGUGAAAUGGCCAAUGUGUUUCAGUGGAAGCCUACAAAAUAGGCACAAUGAUGCCUAUUUUUAGAAGGCAACAUCUCAGAAUUUAAAAAGGCCUUCACAUAUUCCAACUUUGGUCUGUAUGAGCCCUUUAAUUCUGCUAUAUGGAUAUCAAUUAUUUUAUACACUUAGUGUUGGGGUAAUGUGGUAGAUAGAAGACAAAUGUUAAGAGAUGGCGGACAUUGUAUGGAAUCCUGUCUAAGCUUUGUAGUUCAUUAUGCAGUCGUCAACAAGUCUUUUCCUCAUCUCUCACUUCAAAGAAUCACUGAGAGAAGAAGUCCGCUAUUGAUGGCAAAGCACUUUGAACACUGAGCAACACAACAAAAGGGCAUAAACAACAUGAAAAGAAGAAUCACCUUCCCUAAUAAGGUCUUUAUGUUUUCCCUUUAGUGACCUUAUUAGCCAAGUAGAAGAAGAACGAUCAGAAAAAAUGAGAAGCAAAAGAAAUGCUUUCGUGUCAAUUUGUGAAACAGGC
rnacentral:lncRNA from 1 species